AUUGACCGCUGGCGGCAGGCCUAACACAUGCAAGUCGAGCGAGCGGCGGACGGGUGAGUAAUGUCCGGGAAACUGCCUGAUGGAGGGGGAUAACUACUGGAAACGGUAGCUAAUACCGCAUACCAUCAGAUGUGCCCAGAUGGGAUUAGAUAGUAGGUGGGGUAACGGCUCACCAAGGCGACGAUCCCGAGCUGGUUUGAGAGGAUGAACAGACAAACUGGAACUGAGACACGGUCCAGACUCCGACGGGAGGCAGCAGUGGGGAAUAGUGCACAAUGGGCGCAAGCCUGAUGCAGCCAUGCCGCGUGUGUGAAGAAGGCCUUCGGGUUGUAAAGCACUUUCAGCGGGGAGGCGUUACCCGCAGAAGAAGCACCGGCUAACUCCGUGCCAGCAGCCGCGGUAAUUC
rnacentral:rRNA from 1 species